AGUGUAGCUCAAUGGUAGAGCGCCGCACUGUGGCUGCGGAUGUUGCGGGUUCAAUCCCCGUCAC
rnacentral:tRNA from 1 species